rnacentral:rRNA from 1 species
GGUAAGCUUACUUUCGGGUAAGGAACGACCGGCGCACGGGUGCGUAACGCGUAUGCAACCUACCAAUUACAGGGGGAUAGCCCCGAGAAAUCGGGAUUAAUACCGCGUAAUACCCUAUAAUAGCAUUACUAAAGGGUUAAAGAUUUAUUGGUAAUUGAUGGGCAUGCGUAUGAUUAGCUAGAUGGUACGGUAACGGCGUACCAUGGCAACGAUCAUUAGCGGGUCUGAGAGGAUGAUCCGCCACACUGGGACUGAGACACGGCCCAGACUCCUACGGGAGGCAGCAGUAGGGAAUAUUGGUCAAUGGGGGAGACCCUGAACCAGCCAUGCCGCGUGCAGGAAGACGGCCUUCUGGGUUGUAAACUGCUUUUAUACGGGAAUAAAUAGCCCCUGCGGGGGAAGUUGCAUGUACCGUAUGAAUAAGCACCGGCUAACUCCGUGCCAGCAGCCGCGGUAAUACGGAGGGUGCAAGCGUUGUCCGGAUUUAUUGGGUUUAAAGGGUGCGUAGGCGGCCUGACAAGUCAGUGGUGAAAUCCUCCCGCUCAACGGGAGAACUGCCAUUGAAACUGUAAGGCUUGAGGACAGUCGAGGUAGGCGGAAUUUAUG